GGUCUUUCGACGCGGGCGGACGUACCGCAGUGUUCGAAAAUUUUUACGAAGUUUCUUUUGUUUCUAUUCUCUAUAGAAUUUUAAAUAUUUGAAAUCUGUGCUUAUAUUUUUGUUUUUGAAAGGCGUUAAGGAGUUGAGGUACCAUCGAGCAGAGGGUGAAAAAUUGCGUUUCCAUACCCUACGUCAAGAUGGCCGGAUUCUACUUACCAACACUAGCUCUAUUGCUACUUGUAACAACGGCUUACGCACAAACUGAAGAAACCGAUACACCAACGGUUGUAACAACAACCAAAUCAUCCCCCACCAGCACCAACCAGCCUUCCACUACCAUUGCUUGGGAGACAGAAACCCUGAAUGAGGGUCAAGCAAUACAGAAGGCGCUGCAGUACUUGCUGCAGCAUCGCGAUGCGGAUUGGGGAUGGGGAAACGAUACUCAUCACGUCAUGUUGACUUUACAGCUGGCAAAUAACACUGGCAAAGAGAUCGAGCAACAAGCCCUGGAGAUGCAGCUGUCAGCGAAGCAGAUGGAAAUCGAAAUCCUGCUCAUGAUGUCCAAAAGGCACCACGAAUCUCCACCACCGCUGGGCCGCCUAGCUGCCUACACUCUUGCUCUCGGCGCUCUCUGCAAGGAUCCUCGCUCCUUCCAUGGCCGAGACCUGGUGGCUGCAUUACUCCACCGAGAGCCUCCACAUGACCUUGAGUUUGCAUAUGCUACCCUUGCUGCGUGUUCUUCGGCCGCCCAUGUUAGACGUCGCCAUAUAAGACGUUUGUUGGACAUUGCUAAUGCUGCUGCUGACCAUAGUCUUGAUACGAUCUCCAUGGUCAUUCUCGCUUUGCGCUGCGUAGUUCAAGACCACCGCCAUCGCAGUCUGCUCCAUUUCGUUCGACGACCAAUGGCCGGCCUUGCUCGUCAGCAACACCCUGAUGGCAGCUUUGGAAGUCUUACCACUACUGCUUUAGCUAUUCAGGCUCUCGAAGAUUCAGACAGUGGUCCAGGUGCACACCAGCACUGGAGUCUUCCAGCAGCUCGCAAAUGGCUCCUUGAACGUCAGAAUCCCGACGGUGGGUGGGGAGACGUAGCAAAGACCGCUGCAGCGGUUGCAGCUCUGACACCGGCAUCUUUGGCAGCAGUACGUCCUCCACAUUGCAGCGAUAAAUUGUUGGAGAGUCGUCAUGAACCUUUAGACAGCAACGGUGGUGAUGGCAGCCUGAAACUGGCUUACCAAUCUGGCCAUACCAGCAACGAUUCUGACGCCCGCAACGUAUCUUUCACGUACACCUUGUGGUUGGGCACCAACGUGACUGAGAACUACACCCUGUACAUGGUUGCUCCGAGAAACGUAUCAUUCUACCACGUAAUGCAAAUGGCGGCAGACCAAGACCCGAAGUUCAAGUUCGAAGCCAGCGAAUGGCCCAACGGGCAUUACGUCCACACCCUGGCUGGGCAUAAGGAGGAACCCAUGGGCUAUCAUUAUUGGCUGCUGUAUCGUUUGCCAGAGAUCCCUGACCCCGUGAGCCCACCGGGUAACCAGCUUGUUGCUCCUGUUGGUGUAGAUGACCUCCUCGUGGAAGAUGGAGAACAUUACCUCUUUUGGUACAAGAAAUUGUAAUUCCCUCAUUUCAAUUCCAUUUCUGCCUUUUUGAAAAACUUUCCCUGUGCCUCUAAUUUCUACCCUUAGAAAUAUCCUGGGUCAAAAUUCGAAAAAAUAGUUUCAUCUCAAAUAUGUAACACAAUCACAAAAACUUUUAAAAUCGAUAAGUACAUACUACUAUUUGUUUUAUAGUUGUAAAUUUUUUUUUUUGUUACGUAUAAGUCAAUAUUUUUAAUCCUUUAAGUUAUGUACGCUUAAAAAAGUGCUGAAACUAGCAUUAACAAUUAUGCUUCUUCAUGUUAAAAAUCUAAUCGCUAGUUUUAUGAAUCAUAAUUAUUGUAAUCGUGUUGUUUAUGAUAUAUUUCUAUGACUAUGCGAAAUAAUUUAUCUUUGUGGAAAAACAGAUGGUUCCAUAAAAACGAACAAUUACCAAAAUCGUGAACUCAAAAAUUAGCACAGUAUCAAUUAAAAAGAGGUUAUCGGC